rnacentral:rRNA from 1 species
CUACAGAGAGUGCAAGCGUUAAUCGGAAUAACUGGGCGUAAAGCGCACGUAGGUGGACAUUUAAGUCGGAUGUGAAAGCCCUAGGCUUAACCUAGGAACUGCAUCCGAAACUGGGCGUCUUGAGUAUAGUAGAGGGAAGUGGAAUUUCCGGUGUAGCGGUGAAAUGCGUAGAUAUCGGAAAGAACACCAGUGGCGAAGGCGGCUUCCUGGACUAAUACUGACACUGAGGUGCGAAAGCGUGGGGAGCAAACAGGAUUAGAUACCCUAGUAGUCC